GGUGAAACACUCGUUCGCGUACAAUCACCGAAGAUAAGCAAGGUUGAACCUGGUUAGUAUCUAUAUGGGUGACCGCUUGAGAAUACCAGGUUCUGUAAG